GGAUUAGAUACCCUGGUAGUCCACGCCCUAAACGAUGUGUGCUAGACGUCGGGGGGCUUGCCCUUCGGUGUCGGAGCUAACGUGUUAAGCACACCGCCUGGGGAGUACGGUCGCAAGAUUAAAACUCAAAGGAAUUGACGGGGGCCCGCACAAGCGGUGGAGCAUGUGGUUUAAUUCGACGCAACGCGCAGAACCUUACCAGCCCUUGACAUGGUGGUUUCGAUUUCCAGAGAUGGAUCUCUCAGUUCGGCUGGACCAUCACAGGUGCUGCAUGGCUGUCGUCAGCUCGUGCCG
rnacentral:rRNA from 1 species